CACCUCUUCCCAUUCCGAACAGAGAAGUUAAGCCCCUCAUGGCCGAUGGUACUGCACUAUCAUGCGGGAGAGUAGGUAGCUGCCAUAC
rnacentral:rRNA from 1 species